rnacentral:rRNA from 1 species
GACGAACGCUGGCGGCGGGCUUAACACAUGCAAGUCGAACGGAAAGGCCCUGCUUGUGUGGGGUGCUCGAGUGGCGAACGGGUGAGUAACACGUGAGUAACCUGCCCUUGACUUUGGGAUAACUUCAGGAAACUGGGGCUACUACCGGAUAGGAGCUCCUGCUGCAGGGUGGGGGUUGGAAAGUUUCGGCGGUUGGGGAUGGACGCGCGGCUUAUCAGCUUGUUGGUGGGGUAGUGGCUUACCAAGGCUUUGACGGGUAGCCGGCCUGAGAGGGUGACCGGCCACCUUGGGCCUGAGAUACGGCCCAGACUCCUACGGUAGACAGCAGUGGGGAAUCUUGCACAAUGGGCGGAAGUCUGAUGCAGCAACGCCGCGGUCGUGAUGACGGCCUUCGGGUUGUAAACCGCUGUCGCCUGUGACGCAGCGUGAGUGACGGUACUGGGUAAAGAAGCACCGGCUAACUACGUG